rnacentral:lncRNA from 1 species
UUUGACAUGAGGGAUCGUGAACCCGUCUGGGGGAGGCGAAGCAAAGCAAUGGUCCAGCUUGUUCUGCAUGUCUCUCUGCACCAUGUCUGGUAUGCGCGGGCCCCCGGGGAAAAAGAACUGAGGAAUCUCUGCGACGUCCUUCGACUGCGGGAUCAUCAGUGAGGACUUGCAUAAUUUGCUCGAGAGAUUAAGACAGGGAUGUUCCAUGGCUCUGUUUGCAUCAGUCUCGUGCUCCCAUUCCCUCUGAGUGAAGCCAUAAUACCUGUUUCUGGAGAACAGAAGCGGAGGGCGGCCUGGUCGGUGAACUCUCUGAGCGCGGGGACUGCGCCUUCUGCGGUGAGAGAGGGGG